CCCCAGAGGAGGAUUGGGGGCCCCAGGAGUCAACAGGCUGGCAUUUAGAAAAUUCAUCUUUUCAUUCAUCAUGUGAGAGAAUCUGAGCUGGAAAUCAGUGGGAGACAAUGCAUAUAGAAUCUUGCAAUGCCAUUAUUUUCAGGGUAGAAUUGCACUUUCAGCCUCACAGCACCCCUUGGAAACAGGAGUUCACAAGGAGCAGAGGAUAAUACCAGUAACUCAGGAGAGCACAGUUUUGUGAGAAAAUAUCAAUAAAGUGCAAUUAUUCCCUCACCGGGCCAUAUGUGCAUCACAUUGGCAGACAUAGCCCAAACCCUGCAACUGCUGGAAAAUUUCAGAGGCAAGAUUCUUUAAAAGAAGCAGUGCCUAGGAGCCCCAGUCACGAACCAGGACACCACUGUACAAGAUGCUGGACAAAAACAGAAUACAAAAAAAACCAGACCCUGCCCCAAGGAGUUUAAAAUCUGUGUAUAAGAUAAGAGACAACAGGUGGAUACAGACAGAAGGGGGAGUAGAAGGAAACAAUAUUGGCACGUUUGAUCGGCAUACCAGCAGCCUAAAAACUGUCAAACCUCUCCUAUGCCAUGAUACCUAUGGUUCCAACAGCAUACAU